rnacentral:lncRNA from 1 species
GCUACUAUGGCAGGAUUAUAUUGGCCUAAUCGGUCGGUUGGCUCGGACUACACAACGACUAUCAUCUCCUUGUCAGUUGAAUGGUCAAACUGACUGGCAUGCCGGCGCACACCACGCGCGCCGAUUUGGAUUCUGCACUGGAGUUAAGCAGAUCUUCUAGGUCCUCUUGUGCUGAUGUAGGCUCCAUCACCGCCAGAAUUUUGCGUCAACACAUUUUGGCAUGCUCAAGCACUCCUAAGUUCUUUGAGCUUUAUAAAGAUCCCAAGUGCUUUCAAGAUUAAGGAUUAUUCCAUACUCUUUUCCCCAGCCAUGUCCAAUCUGAUUACGAGAAGUUUAUUCGUAUCUCGCGAUCACCCUUUGCCCCUGCACAUGUGCACUAUCUAAAUGUGUCUGUUCAUUCUUUCCCUCCCCAU